rnacentral:rRNA from 1 species
GAUGAACGCUAGCGGCAGGCUUAAUACAUGCAAGUCGAGGGGUAGCAAGAUUGUAGCAAUACAAUUGUUGACGACCGGCAAACGGGUGCGGAACACGUACACAACCUUCCUACAAGUGGGGAAUAGCCCAGAGAAAUUUGGAUUAAUACCCCGUAACAUAGCGAUGUGGCAUCACAUUGCUAUUAUAGCUUCGGCGCUUGUUGAUGGGUGUGCGGCUGAUUAGAUAGUUGGCGGGGUAACGGCCCACCAAGUCUACGAUCAGUAGCUGAUGUGAGGGCAUGAUCAGCCACACGGGCACUGAGACACGGGCCCGACUCCUACGGGAGGCAGCAGUGAGGAAUAUUGGACAAUGGACGCAAGUCUGAUCCAGCCAUGCCGCGUGAAGGAUUAAGGUCCUCUGGAUUGUAAACUUCUUUUAUAAGGGACGAAAAAAGGUCUUUCUAGAUCGUCUGACGGUACCUUAUGAAUAAGCACCGGCUAACUCCGUGCCAGCCGCCGCCGUAAAAC